rnacentral:snRNA from 1 species
GUGCUCACUUCAGCAGCACAUAUACUAAAAUUGGAACGAUACAGAGAAGAUUAGCAUGGCCCUUGCGCAAGGAUGACACACAAAUUUGUGAAGCGCUCCAUAUUUUU